CUCAGCUGAUGAGUCCCAAAUAGGACGAAACACGCGUCCUUGAU
rnacentral:hammerhead_ribozyme from 1 species